UACGAAGGGGGCUAGCGUUGUUCGGAAUUACUGGGCGUAAAGCGCGUGUAGGCGGAUUUUUAAGUCAGGGGUGAAAUCCUGGAGCUCAACUCCAGAACUGCCUUUGAUACUGAGAAGCUUGAGUCCGGGAGAGGUGAGUGGAACUGCGAGUGUAGAGGUGAAAUUCGUAGAUAUUCGCAAGAACACCAGUGGCGAAGGCGGCUCACUGGCCCGGUACUGACGCUGAGGUGCGAAAGCGUGGGGAGCAAACAGGG
rnacentral:rRNA from 1 species